rnacentral:rRNA from 1 species
UACGGGGGGGGCAAGCGUUGUUCGGAAUUACUGGGCGUAAAGGGCGCGUAGGCGGCCUUCUAAGUCGGACGUGAAAUCCCUCGGCUUAACCGAGGAACUGCGUCCGAUACUGAAAGGCUUGAAUCCGGGAGAGGGAUGCGGAAUUCCAGGUGUAGCGGUGAAAUGCGUAGAUAUCUGGAGGAACACCGGUGGCGAAGGCGGCAUCCUGGACCGGUAUUGACACUGAGGCGCGAAAGCCAGGGGAGCAAACGGG